AUACUGCAGUCCAGCACUAUAUGAAGGUAGCCACAUGGUCUUUGUAUCGUUUCAAACUGCAAAUAUUAAUGCUACUGACAAUAUAAUUGGCUUUAAUAUUUGUCUGUAUUGGGGCUUAUAUUUGUUGUAGCAACAUUUUU
rnacentral:snoRNA from 1 species